rnacentral:lncRNA from 1 species
AUAUUUUGUCUUUCUAUUCCUUCAGCCGAGUCUUCUUCAAGAUGCCAUCCCAGCCACGGUGCCCAUAAGGUACCAGCACAGGAGUGGGGAAUAGGCCGGGAGCUGGAGGGUCCUGGGACCUCGAACGUUGCGCUAAGGUCGCCCAAGGAGAGAACACACAAAGGCAGGCAGUCACAGCUUGACAGGACAAGUCUCUACGCAUUCCAGGGUAUCUGUCAAGAUAACCGAGAGGAGAGAUCCAAGUCAUUGGGGUUGGGUCCACACCAUGCUUGUGCAGCUGAGCAAAGUUUAGAGCCACAGGCGCUUAUCGUGGAGCUGGGGGUGGAUCUGUCCAAAGACAGUCCACCCCUCCUGGAGGAGGAAGUCUCUGAUGGGGAGGAGGAGAGCCGAGACAGGACGGAGGUGGAGGACAGGCAGAACAAUGAUGAGGUGCCUGAGGCCUCCCCACUGCAGCUGUGCUCUAAACACCAGAAAUGGGUUAGGAGCAUUCUGCAGGAGUGCUCUGAGGAACUGCUGUGUGAAAAGAGUGAUACCCCAGUGCACUGUCAGGGGUCCUCUUCCACCUCAUCACAGGACUUGACCCCAUCCCUCCUCACCCUUUGUCAACCCCAACAUCUAACUCUGGCCACACAGAACCCUUACCCUCCUCAAACAGUGGCUGUAUCCCAACCUACGGCCCUCGAUGACAGAGCCCAUUCUGAACAGGCUGGAGAACCAGCAGACAGCCCAGAGGCCAGUAGAACACAUAGGGUCAAGCUGAGACUGUCUAUGGAGAGUCAGGCUCUUCUGCUUAUGUCAAAGUUUCUACAGCCGUUUGUGCGGCUCCGAAAACUGACCCAGCAGGAGUGUAGCAUGGCUGCAGAGCUAAGAGGGACCAAGACCCCUGAGGACGAAGACAGUGAUGAUGGCGAAGAGGAGGAGGAUGAUGAAGAACAUGUGGGAAAAACUCCAGUGUAUUCUUAUUAUGAUUUAAACAUGCUCUAUUCUAGUUUUGAGUCAAGCUCUGAUGAAGAUCCCGAAACACAGGAUUCAGAUUCUGACUAUGUUCCUGGAUAUGGAAAGAGAAUGUACAACCAAAGUGUGUGA